AUUAAAGUGACAGAAAAAUGUGAGGAAUUUAAGCUUCCUUUAUGAUAAUUUCCUUUAAUA
rnacentral:tRNA from 2 species